rnacentral:tRNA from 1 species
GAGUGGCGCAGCUGGUAGCGCAACUGAUUCGUAAUCAGUAGGUCGUCGGUUCGAAUCCGAUCUC